rnacentral:rRNA from 1 species
CAGCCGCCGCGGUAAUACGAGGGGUGCAAGCGUUAUUCGGAUUGAUUGGGUGUAAAGGGUGUGCAGACGGCUUAUUAAGUCACUUGUUAAAUUCUUCGGCCUAACUGAAGGUCUGCAAGUGAUACUGAUGAGCUAGAGGGUGGAAGAGAGAAGUGGAAUUCUCGGAGUAGCGGUAAAAUGCGUAGAUCUCGAGAGGAACACCAAUGGCAAUGGCGACUCUCUGGUCUGUAACUGACGCUGAGGAGCGAAAGCGUGGGGAGCGAACAGGAUUAGAUACCCCGGUAGUCCCUGUCUCUUAUAC